UCGAGGGGGGGUCCCCGCCGGGAGCGCAGCGAGGGCACCCGCCGGCUGCAGGGCCAGAUUGCUCACGUCACGGCUGCAGCUGCCUUGCAAGAUACCAACCAAACACUAAUAUUUGGAUAGACACUUGGAUACGUACAAUUCCUCUCCCAGGAUGCUUUUCAAAGCAGGAUUAGAACUGGCUGAAUUGCAGAAUAUGACUGUCCCUGAAGAUGAUAACAUCAGCAAUGAUUUAAAUGAUUUCACAGAGGUGGAAAAUGGCCAGAUAAAUAGCAAGUUUAUUUCGGAUCGAGAAAGCAGGAGAAGUCUGACAAACAGCCACCUGGAGAAGAAGAAAUGUGAUGAAUAUAUUCCAGGAACUACUUCACUGGGAAUGUCUGUCUUUAAUCUCAGCAAUGCAAUUAUGGGCAGUGGAAUUUUAGGCCUCGCUUUUGCACUGGCCAACACGGGAAUUCUCCUUUUUUUGCUGCUUUUGGUUUCAGUGACACUGUUGUCUAUUUAUUCAAUAUACCUCCUGUUGGUGUGUUCGAAGGAAACAGGCUGCAUGGUGUAUGAAAAGCUGGGCGAGCAGGUCUUUGGUACUCCAGGAAAAAUGAUUGUUUUUGGUUCUACGUCUCUUCAGAAUGUUGGAGCUAUGUUGAGCUAUCUCUUCAUAGUCAAAAAUGAGUUGCCUUCUGCCAUAAAGUUUCUAAUGGGAAAAGAUGAAUCUUUUUGGGAAUGGUAUGUGGAUGGGCGAUUUCUUGUUGCCACUGUGACAUUUGGGAUAAUCCUCCCUUUAUGUCUCCUGAAAAACUUAGGGUAUCUUGGCUAUACCAGUGGAUUUUCAUUAAGCUGCAUGGUAUUUUUCCUCAUAGUGGUUAUAUACAAGAAGUUUCAAAUUUCCUGUUAUGAUUUGGUACUAAAUGCAACAUCUCUUACCCUAUCAAAUAGCUCAGAAGAUACGCAUAUGUGUAAGCCAAAGUAUGUUACCUUUAAUUCCAAGACCGUGUAUGCUUUGCCCACCAUUGCUUUUGCAUUCGUGUGCCACCCGUCAGUCCUUCCAAUCUACAGCGAACUUAAAGACCGUUCACAGAAAAAAAUGCAGUUGGUUUCAAAUAUCUCAUUUUUUGCCAUGUUUGUGAUGUACUUUAUGACUGCCAUAUUUGGCUAUUUGACUUUCUAUGACGACGUGCAGUCGGAUCUGCUUCACAAGUACCAGAGCAAAGAUGACAUCCUUAUCCUGACAGUGCGUUUAGCUGUAAUCGUUGCAGUGAUACUCACAGUGCCAGUGCUGUUCUUCACUGUACGUUCAUCACUGUUUGAGCUGGCUAGAAAAACAAAAUUCGACCUCUGCCGUCAUGUUUUGGUUACUUUUGUUCUUUUGGUUAUCAUCAACCUGUUAGUCAUUUUCAUCCCAACCAUGAAAGAUAUUUUUGGAGUUGUAGGAGUUACCUCGGCCAAUAUGCUGAUUUUCAUUCUUCCUUCAUCACUGUAUUUAAAAAUUACACAACAAGAUGGAGCAAAAUGGACUCAGAGGAUUUGGGCUUCUCUUUUCUUGGCGCUGGGGAUAAUGUUUUCCCUCGUGAGCAUUCCUUUGGUCAUCUAUGACUGGGUACAAUCAGGAGGCAGCACCAAAGACCCGUAGAGCCAACCUCAGUGUGAAACGGAGACAUCCCUGUUUGCUACACACCAAAAUCGCCACCAUCCGUUCUGUUAUCUAGUCCAUCUUUUGUUUAUACAUUCUUAACAGAAUGCAAUAGACCCUGCUGUAACUGUCAACAUCAGUGAUGGAUGACAAUAUUUGUAUGAGGUUAUCUGUAAAAUGUACUGCUGUUAUUCAGUUCAUUUGGAAUAGUGAACUUGUAGCCAACGAUGUCCCACAUUUUAGCUAGGAGUUUAAGAGCACAGUGAAAUGCUGUAGGAGUUUCUCUGUUGUAAAAUGAAUAGGAUCCAGAGUACCGUAUCUACUUAGUAGGUGCUAGCAUGCUUUCUUUUCAUAGAGAGUUUAUCACUGUUGUGAGCACUGCAAGUUUCAUAGACUGGAUGCAAAACCACUCCAAAUAGCUACCACAAAAUGCUUCAAAGCUAUUGUUUGUAUAAUAGCAACACCGGAGUGGUGGUGGACAGGAAGGUCUGUAGAAGCAGGGGCUCCUAGUAAGACUGUAGGGGUUAAUCCCGUGCUUACAAGCUGGCCUUGCUACCUGUCCUAGCCCACAUCACACCGCAAAGAAAAUGCUUACGAGCUUAAGCCACUCUUGUGGUUGCAGUAUACAGCUGCCCUUGCCUGGAUUUCCCAGUGGUGAAUAUGCCUAAUAAAGAAAAUACAAUAAAUGAUGUUAUUUGGGAACGAUUUCGAGGGAGCAGCGACCUCGCUGGGUGAUUCUGGCUUCAGAGGGCCGAUGCCGAGGCCGUGCAGCGGCUCAGACCUCUGGCAGAGCCAACGUGGGGCUCGAGGGGUGCCCGGGAGAGGCCACUCUCAUCCCGUGGGCUCGAGGGUACCCACGUCCUCCCCAGGGCUGCUCCCUGAGCUCUCUGCAGCUUGGGCUCCUCUUGGGGAGGUCCAACCUGUAAACGCAGGCUGGAUAACGUAUGGAAUUACUAUGGGGCUUGUCUGUACGUCUGCCUUACAGUGCAUCAGCACCAUAGCUAUUUCUGCUAUUGUGCAUCAAUAAUAACUAGCAGUAAUAAUUAAUGGUAUCUCUAGCUCAUCUUUGAAUCAGUAUGUUUCUUUGCUUGAACCUUACAUUAAGGCUAAAGAGCAUCUUGGUCAAAGCAAGAUCACCUCUUUGCGUGUGGUGGUGUCCCACCUCCAGUCCCACAGUCCCACCCCGGUGCCUUUAGGAGAAAGGCCCAGCAGAAUGUAUUCAGUUCCAGCAGCAAUUCCAAAAAAAUGGCUUUAUCACCUGACACCACGGUGCUCUCGGGAGCAGUUCCCCAGAGCGCUUGGCAUCAGGAAAAUCUUUAUUUCCUAUAACCUACACAAAGAAUGUUUUAUUUGUAUCUAAUGUAAGGAUUUCUGUAACAAACUGUGAAAAAGAGAAUGAAUUAAUAAAAAAGUACAGGGCUGGAAAGGUCUAGAGUUCACAAAUUGUACACAUACUUAUGUUUCUGAAGACAAAUCUAUGCAGUUGUGUUGUAUUGUAGGAAAUUUCAUUUUUAUGUAUAUAUAUAUAUUGUAAAUAAAUAGGAUGCUGUAUAUUUUUGCAGUUCUUUAUCCCCUAUGAUAUAGAAGUGUUGAAAUAGUCUCUGCAUAUUAAGAAUAACUUUAAUAGAAAUACAAGUACUUUAGCUUCUGACGUAGCAAAAUGUAUAUCCUUCCCUUUCUCCUGGGAGUCCACAAGUUAAAUUCGAAACUUGAAAUUACGAGUACAUUGCUAAGUGUAACAAAUGCAAGAAAAAUAAAAGGUCCAAUGAAACUGCUAGGGUUAAUUCCUGUGUCUCCCUGUUUUCUCCCCAGCAGAUCAUCCAGCCUUGCUGCUGGGUGAGGUCUGUCCCUGUGCGAAGGGCCUGUCCAGCGCGCGGGCCCCCUGCCCUCCUCGCAGGGCUGCCGUGGGGCGAACGCGCGGCAGCCUCGUGCCGGGGCUCCCCACUGAAGGCAGCUGGCACGGAUAGGAGCCAGAGCAGGGCUUGUGCGUUGCCAUUUCUGCCACGAGGCACGGCUGCAGUUCCGGAAAAUAGAGGUACUCCCAGCCAGGGCUGGGCAAUGGUUGGAGGAGCUCGUGCUGUUUGCAGGCAGCCCCCGGCACGCUGCUAUCCUGGGCCAAAACGCCAGCCGAAGCGAGUGUCCCUGGCCAGUGCCAAGGGUCUCCUUGCCCCGAGGCUAUGGGGACACCAGUGUUUUGGUCCAGGGAUACCUGCGUGUCCAGGGAGCAGAAGUGAGGAAAGGGGGACGCUUGCGGGUGUCCUGAGAGUGCCUCCGCAAGGGCCAUAGGAUUUGUCACUCGAAAGACACAAGAGUGUGAUUUAGAACUGGUAGAAAGCAGAGGCUGAGCAACCCAUCUAAAAAUAAAUGUAUUUUUUCCAUGUUUACUUCAUAGUCUUGGAUGAAAGUGAAACUUGAAGUGACGUCUGUUUUCACCAUGAGCACAAAACUGAGGGAAAACUUAAAACGCAGUCACUUUUAGAGAGCUUUUCAAAUACAAAUGUACAUUUUGUUUGCAGUGUUAUAGCCAACAAAAUAUAAACUGUAAAGGUAUUUUUCCACAAGACUUGAACUUUAACUUGUUUAUAUAAACCUGUUUUUAAGAGUCCUGAGGUAUGUUAAGGCUCAUCCAGAUCCAGUAUAAACAAUACUGUUUGAAUGAUGUACACUUGAUAUGAGCUCAUCUCUAGUAGAUUGUUCAAGUGAGUCAUUGUAAUAUUUUGCUCCUGCUAACAUCACCGUACUUUGUGCUGUUUAUAUUCAAAUAAACA